CAAUUUGAUCGUUAUAAAAUGACUGGAGUAAUGUAGCUUCGAUCUUGUAUUGAAGUGUUAUAACUUUGGUAGAUGUAACGAUUGGGAUUGAGGAUUGCAACGAAUACCCUUCGGGCUAUCCUCUGGCCUCUGAAAGUUGUCUUGGUGCCGAAAGCGUGCUUACGGUUAUCGAGGCUGACGUCAAAAGGUUAGAACGCGAUUAAAUUCGUUAAGGAUGUUGACGUAAUGGCUUUAAACGA
rnacentral:rRNA from 1 species